AUUGAACGCUGGCGGCAUGCUCUACACAUGCAAGUCGAACGGUAACAGGGAGCUUGCUCCGCUGACGAGUGGCGAACGGGUGAGUAAUGCGUCGGAACGUGCCGAGUAGUGGGGGAUAACGCAGCGAAAGUUGUGCUAAUACCGCAUACGUACUGAGGUAGAAAGUGGGGGACCUUCGGGCCUCACGCUAUUCGAGCGGCCGACGUCUGAUUAGCUAGUAGGUGAGGUAAAGGCUCACCUAGGCGACGAUCAGUAGCAGGUCUGAGAGGAUGAUCCGCCACACUGGGACUGAGACACGGCCCAGACUCCUACGGGAGGCAGCAGUGGGGAAUUUUGGACAAUGGGCGAAAGCCUGAUUCAGCCAUGCCGCGUGUCUGAAGAAGGCCUUCGGGUUGUAAAGGACCUUUGUCGGGGAGGAAAUCCCCAGCGCUAAUACCGCUGGGGGAUGACAGUACCUGAAGAAUAAGCACCGGCUAACUACGUGCCAGCCGCCGCCGUAAUAC
rnacentral:rRNA from 1 species